AGCAGCCGCGGUAAUUCCAGCUCCAAUAGCGUAUAUUAAAGUUGUUGCAGUUAAAAAGCUCGUAGUUGAAUUUCGGGACCAAUUUGUUGGUCGUGCCUCGGUACGUACUGGUAUUAUUGGUUUCUCCCUUCUGAAGAACCUCGAUGCCAUUAAUUUGGUGUCGUGGGGAAUCAGGACUGUUACUUUGAAAAAAUUAGNGUGUUUAAAGCAAGCAUACGCUUGAAUACAUUAGCAUGGAAUAAUGAAAUAGGACGUUUGAUUCUAUUUUGUUGGUUUCUAGGAUCGACGUAAUGAUUAAUAGGGAUAGUUGGGGGCAUUAGUAUUCAAUUGUCAGAGGUGAAAUUCUUGGAUUUAUUGAAGACUAACUACUGCGAAAGCAUUUGCCAAGGAUGUUUUCAUUAAUCAAGAACGAAAGUUAGGGGAUCGAAGACGAUCAGAUACCGUCGUAGUCUUAACCAUAAACUAUGCCGACUAGGGAUCGGAUGAUGUUAAUUUUUUCAAUGACUCAUUCGGCGCCUUA
rnacentral:misc_RNA from 1 species